rnacentral:rRNA from 1 species
GACGAACGCUGGCGGCGUGCUUAACACAUGCAAGUCGAACGGAAAGGCCCUGCUUUUGUGGGGUGCUCGAGUGGCGAACGGGUGAGUAACACGUGAGUAACCUGCCCUCGACUUUGGGAUAACUUCAGGAAACUGGGGCUAAUACCGGAUAGGAGCUCCUGCUGCAUGGUGGGGGUUGGAAAGUUUCGGCGGUUGGGGAUGGACUCGCGGCUUAUCAGCUUGUUGGUGGGGUAGUGGCUUACCAAGGCUUUGACGGGUAGCCGGCCUGAGAGGGUGACCGGCCACAUUGGGACUGAGAUACGGCCCAGACUCCUACGGGAGGCAGCAGUGGGGAAUAGUACACAAUGGGCGGAAGCCUGAUGCAGCAACGCCGCGUGCGGGAUGACGGCCUUCGGGUUGUAAACCGCUUUCGCCUGUGACGAAGCGUGAGUGACGGUAAUGGGUAAAGAAGCACCGGCUAACUACGUG